rnacentral:rRNA from 1 species
AGCGAACGCUGGCGGCAUGCUUAACACAUGCAAGUCGCACGGUCAGCAAUGGCAGUGGCGGACGGGUGAGUAACGCGUAGGUAUCUGUCUCUGGGUGGGGGAUAACCAGUGGGAAACUAUGGCUAAGUACCGCAUGAAACCCGAGGGUCAAAGGCGCAAGUCGCCUGGAGAGGAGCCUGCGUACGAUUAGCUUGUUGGUGAGGUAAUGGCUCGACCAAGGCGACGAUCGUUAGCUGGUCUGAGAGGAUGAUCAGCCACACUGGGACUGAGACACGGCCCAGACU